AAAGAGGAAGUGACAAAGUGUGUAGUUGGGGUCCUAGGGGCCAGGGAAAUUAGCCUUGUUUUUCCUUCCAAUGAAUCACAGAACUUUUAUGGGUGGAGUCACAGUCACCAGAUUGAGCAAUAAGGGGUCACCUAGUUCAAUUAGGCUUUUAGAUUAACAAUAACAUCCCACAAAAGCAGUCCAGCUCCUAAUCUCUGGAACCUGUAAAUGUGUUAAAUUAAUGGCAAAAGAACUUUCAGAUGUGAUUAAGCUAUUGGGGCUUGCAUUGAGGGAGUAUCUCCUGGCUCAGGCAGCUGGGUCCAAUCAAAUCAAGCGAGCCUUUAAAAGAGGAGAACCCGUUGCCACCUGCAAUCAGAGGGACCUGUGACUAAAGAAGAAGGGUUGGAGGCUUCAGCGUUGCUGCCUUUCAAGAUGGCAGAAGAAGGCUGUGAGUGAAGGAAUUCCAAUAGAUGGAUCUACUAUAGAAGAGGAAAGGACAGUCACCACUACACCUCCAUGAGGAUCAGCUACGGAAAGGGACAAUACAGAACUCAGGACGGCUGAGAUGAGAUGUUGCUGUUCCAUGGACCACAUCUUGAAGAGCAGAAGCUUCACUCAUCAGAGCUGAGCCCACCAUCUUGUAACAGCCUGCCACCACGAAGAGAUGCAAGGACAGAACCACACAUGCCUUUGGAUUUUCCAACCUCAUGACCUCCGAAACAGAGAAAGGAAAUGGAACCACACUGAAGAGGCCUCUCUCACGCCCCAGGCAUGAAACCAAGAUGCAAGUAUCUUAUCAUAUUACCUCAGCUGAUGAGAAUCUGAGCAAUGUGAAUGAGAAAGUGAUUAAGUAAACCUUGGUGUGUGAGUCUUACCUCCAUCUGACAUUAUGGGUAGCCUAUGUUGCCAAGGUGACUUGACAGGCUGGAGAUGGCAAAUCUGAGUGGAGGGGACCUCAAGAGAUACCAAAUGUUUAACACACCCUGCAGGAAACCCCAACUGCAGGAAAGACCUGCCCAAAAUAGAGGUGUGCUGAUGCAAAUCAGUAACCACGGUUCUUCUUAGGGUGUAAGAAUGGGCUGGAAACCUCACUGGUGACUCAUCAGCCUCCACUGUUGCCAGGAGUUAUCUCAAGCUCUGGUCAGGCAGCCAGUCAUUGCCUGGCAGAGGGAACCAUCCCUGCAAGCUUUUUCUCCAGCAUGUUCUGGAUCCAAAGGUAGAAGCUGCUUGCCCCUGUCCGUGGAUGAUGCUGCACCCUCUGAGGUGACCUUUCUGAGGGCAUAGAAACUAGACCAAGUUGUCACAGGCAUCCACCCCUUCCAGUCUCUGUCUUAUGCACUGAGGAUUGGGUGGUAGGUAUGGGGUUCUCCAAAGUCAGGUAGAGACCCACUCCUCUGGGAUGCUUGAUUUUUCAUCCAAGUGGGUGAGGUCCCAUGGUUGGCAGAAUUGCACACUCCAAGCACCAUAAGGCUGGCCCCAUGUGCCAGGGUCCCAAGAUGGGUUUCUUUCUUGGAAGUAGGUGCCUUGGAUAAUUUUUUAGCUGAAAGAUCCACUAGCAAGAAAAUAGCCAUCUCUACACUCACACUUCUCUGCCCUUUUCUGACUGUUCAGACUCACAAACCUACUUUUUUCAAGGCAGGACUCCUGUCACCUGAGGAGACUAAGAGUAGACAAUUAAGGCUGGUUUGUAAUGAUGUCAGGGCUUCUGGAAUGUUUACUUCUCUGCAAAGUACUCCUGAACACCAAGCUCCUAGCCUAGAACUUAACCAGAGCAGAAAUGUUUCUUUGCAUUAUUGAGGGAGUAACACAUGAGAGGGUGAUCAAUUCAGCUGGUAACAUGUUCUCUGAAUCUAUUCUGGGUAUGACAUUGUGUGAGAAAUAACAAAAGUUCCCCCUCACUGUUUCUUAUCUGAUGUGGAAAGGGAGUUGUGCAUUCUAAAAAAUAAUAUUAAGUGUCUGGCACAUGAGAGUUUAUAGAGCACAGCUGUGUAAAUUCUGUUAUUUAAUACAACCAACCUGUGAUUUAAAAAAAUCAUCUUCUGAAUUUUGUAAGAUGAGAAAAAGGAAACUCAGAAAGGCACAGAUAAAUUUUCAGAAUGAAGUAGACAUCUGGAAGUGGUUUUGGGGUUAAGCUCAAGCGUCAGGGUCUUGCCCCUUGUCACAGUGUCCAGUGCCACUCAGACCCUGUGAAGUUAGGAAAGGGAGAGGCCUCUUCUCAGAACUUGUCCCCCAGUCCCCGUAGAGUCCUCAGUGUGUUGCAUCUCAUUGGCUGUGAGCCUUUCCCAUGUUCCCUCUUCUUCCUUCCACAGCCCAUCAUUCCCCAGAGGCCACAGAGUCCUCUUGUGCAAAGUUCAUGACCUUUUGCAAUGCAUCACAAACAUACCCCAAGUCACCCAAGACUUCGUCUUGGCUCAGCCAUAUUCACUUUCCUUGCUUAAAGGAUAAAGAAGCAGAGUUCCUGGUAUAUGGGGAGUGAGCCAUACAAGAGUGGGACUACGUUCUACCUUGUAUCAGAGCCCAUGUUUAACAAGUCACAGUUUGUUACAAUCUAUGCUCUCUUAAAUUACUUUAUCAAGGGUUACUUUGUCUUGCCAGUGGGUCACCUGUCCACAGUAUCCCAGGUAUGGGUUGUAUUUUAUUCUUUUUUAUUGCUCUGGCUCCGAGUAAAGCUUCCUAGAGUAAGUGUUUGAUUAUGAUUAUUGGAGUAUCCCAGGGGUACUAAGAAAAGCCUAGAAAAUGCCUCUCGGUCAUAAAGUAUCCUGCAGUAUUCUCUUCAGUGGCGGGAAGAGCUUGCAAACCUAGACUCUCCUCUGCCCUUGGGAAUUCAGUGGCAGGCUUCACCAAGCUGAGAGGUGGAGAGGAUCUCAGAGAAAUGCUCAGCUGUGUCCUCUCCCUGGAGUCUCACUUCCUUAUUCUCCUGGCCCAGCCUCAGGUUGGCUAAUUCCAUCAGGCUCUGGAUCAAGAGAUAACCAAGGAGAACAUUCCCACCCACUCCCCCUGCCAAGAUGGGCUGGGUCGAGCCCAGUCAUGUGCAUUUUGCAAGACACUCAAGGUGAUUAUGACUCAAGUGGUGCCCACACCACCAUUAAAGAAAACAUUGUAUUCAUCAGAGAUUGGGUACCAUUCCUGAAAAUUCUGGUCACUCCUAAGCCGGCAAUCCAAAAAGGCAUUUCUGGGUCAUAUAGGACCACUCUAUGGGAAUAUAAUGACUAUGGUUCCUCCCAGAAUCCCAGUGCAUGGCCAGGAACACACCAGGUCUUCUUCAGUUUACAUGAGAAUGAACUUACUUCCCUUUCCACCCAACUGAUUUCUUAAGUGUUUUCUAUGUGCUAGUCACUGUGUUGGGACACUUAGUCCUCACAGUAACUCUAUAGGUUAUUCACUCAUUAGAGAUGAUAAAACAGGUCCAGAGAGGUUAAGACAGUUGUAUGAACACAAAAUGAAAGUAGAUAGAUGGAGAUAUUCAUCUUAACAGCCCAGUUUCACACACCAUCCAUACCAUAUAUGCCCUCUUCCACCUAAAUCAAACACAUCUGGAAUUGGGGAGCAAGGCUAAUGGGGCUUCUUUCUAUGUGAAGACAUUCCAUCCCCCACUGACACUGCAUUUCCAUCCUGUGAUCUAGUUGUAAUCUUUUCCUCCUUUACACAUUUGUUCCAAGAAAGAAAAUAAAAGCUAAGCAGAAGGUCCAGGGGGAUGGAGGGGAGCUGGGGCAUUUUUGUCCAGGGCUGGAUGAGCCUGCCUGUCUGCCAUGAAAUUUGCCCUUUGCCCUGCACUCCAAACUGAGCUCAGGCAGAACAGACGGCCCCUUGCCAGGGCCAACCAGGGUAAGGGUCAGUGGCAACCCAAGCUCAGACCGCCUCACAUUGGUUUAUUGGUUUGGUUGAAUAUAUUGAUUUUGGCAGCAUCUGACCUGUUUUAUCCUAUAUUUGUUGCCAUACUCGAGUUAAAGAAAGGGAGGAAGCAGAAACAAAGGAUCAGCAGAAAAUACAAGAAUUAGGAAUCAGUAUGAAUUCUUUAGGAGUCUCAGAGGCUGUAUAUUGUUUCUAUAUAAAUUAUCAAAUUUAUACAUAAGCAGAUUAUAUAAUAGAUUAAUAACAUUUUGAAGGAUUUUUUUCCUAUAAAAUUAAAGACAGAGAACAUAGAGUUCAUAUCUUCCACUUGAGCAAAUUACUUAACCUCUAUGUCUUGGUUUCUCAGGGUUUUUUUUAUGGAAGGGAGUGUUGUUUGGGCUUUUGGAUUUUUUUUUUUUAGUUUCUCAGGUUUUAAUUGUAGACAGUAAUAUCUGCUUGAAGGAGUGACCUGUGAAGAUGAAAAAUAAUGUAUUCAGGGCAGGCUGUCAAUAAAUGGUAGCUAAUAUUAUGAUAGCAACUCUGGAACUCACUUCCAAAGUUAAUGGAACAUCUGAAGGGGAACCUCAUCAUAAGAAAGGUGUAGACUUCUUGUCCUGAUUUUUAAAAUUACAAUACAGAGCCUUAACGAUAUAUUCUUUCUUCUCUGAGCUCAGAACACCUUACAAGUAAAUAGGAAUUUUGCACCUAUUAUUCCACUUGAUCCUCAUAACAGGCCUUCAAUGUAAGGUGGGAACUAUUUCCUUCAUUUUACAAACGUCUGUGAGAAGGAUUAGGGAGAUUAAAUGAUUUACCCUAACAUUUUAUAAAGAGAAGAACAGAGACUCACACAUCCAUCUUCUGAAACUAAGUUCAGACCUCGUGCCAGCCAACCAUCUAAAACAUAGAUGUUCAUCUUCAAGAUGCUCCGUGAAGACGCGUGCUCUCUCUUUCAUAUUCACUUGUUAGGAAACUG